rnacentral:rRNA from 1 species
AUGAGUAUGACAAUCACGCAUUUCAUGAUGAAAUUAGGCGAACUCCUCACUAUCUAUGGUACCUUACGAGCAAAGUGUCGAACACCUUGUGGUCGUGGUGGAGACGCGGUCGAUGAAAAGCACCACGGCCUCCCGUACAUGCAGCGGGACUGUACAAGCGGAGAUAAGGGCGGUAGGAGGCCUUGCAUCGCGAGGCAGACGGUGUUGGGGCCGAUGACCGUCGCCGGCGGCCAUAGUUUCUCUAGUACCGGAGGCGAUGAAGAAAUCCCACAAACACUGGCAAGAAUUUCUCCGAAAGCGGGAGGGGGGAUUUUUGUAGAUGCGACGGGGUUGUUGGGGCGGCCGUCCUUGACUGCCGCGGAAGCGGCCGGAAAAUGA